UAAGGAAUAUUGGUCAAUGGGCGCAAGUCUGAACCAGCCAUGCCGCGUGGAGGAUGAAGGCCCUCUGGGUUGUAAACUUCUUUUACAGGGGACGAAACACUCUUUUUCUAAAGAGCUUGACGGUACCCUGGGAAUAAGCACCGGCUAACUCCGUGCCAGCAGCCGCGGUAAUACGGAGGGUGCAAGCGUUAUCCGGAUUCACUGGGUUUAAAGGGUGCGUAGGCGGGCUUGUAAGUCCGUGGUGAAAUCUCUGAGCUUAACUCGGAAACUGCCAUGGAUACUAUGGGUCUUGAAUACUCGGGAGGUGAGCGGAAUAUGUCAUGUAGCGGUGAAAUGCUUAGAUAUGACAUAGAACACCAAUUGCGAAGGCAGCUUGCUACAGAGUUAUUGACGCUGAGGCACGAAAAGCGUGGGGAUCAAAACAGGAUUAGAUACCCUGGUAGUCCACGCUCUAAAACUAUGGAUACUCGACGUUGGCGAUAUGACUGUCAGCGUCUGAGCGAAAAGCAUUAAAGUAUCCCACCUGGGAAGUACGACCGCAAGGUUGAAACUUAAAAGGAAUUGACGGGGGUCAUAGCUGUUUCCUG
rnacentral:rRNA from 1 species